rnacentral:rRNA from 1 species
GGAAGUAAAAGUCGUAACAAGGUUUCCGUAGGUGAACCUGCGGAAGGAUCAUUAUCGAAUUUCGAGGGGGAAGACGAAAUGGUGAAGACUGUCGCUGGCCCUCCCUUCCCUGGGCAUGUGCACGUCUUUCUUUUCGCCGACCUUUCUCUUACUCUCACACCUGUGCACCUAUUGUAGAUCCUCGAAAGAGGAUCUAUGUUUUUUCACAUCACACCUGUCGCAUGUCUAUAGAAUGUAUGGUCAACGAUUUAUAAAUCAUACAACUUUCAGCAACGGAUCUCUUGGCUCUCGCAUCGAUGAAGAACGCAGCGAAUUGCGAUAAGUAAUGUGAAUUGCAGAUUUUCAGUGAAUCAUCGAAUCUUUGAACGCACCUUGCGCUCCUUGGUAUUCCGAGGAGCAUGCCUGUUUGAGUGUCAUCGAAUUUCUCAAUCCAUGAUCUUGACUUGGUCUUGGAUUUGGUCUUGGGAGCUGCUGGCGGCAAAAAGCUGUUGGCUCUCCUGAAAUGCAUUAGCAAAGGACGGCGGGUCUUUGACGUGCACGGCUUUCGACGUGAUAAUGAUCGUCGUGGCUGGAGCGUUAGGACAUGCAUUGAAUCGUCUGUGUUGCUUCUAAUCCUCUAGGCUAGCCUCAAGUCGGUCAGCUCAGCUACUAGUCGGCCAUGUGGCCAACGAACGUCGAGCAUGGGCUGAGCUUUUGGGCUUGUCUUCUAUUUCGAAACUUGACCUCAAAUCAGGUAGCACUACCCGCUGAACUUAAGCAUAUCAAUAAGCGGAGGA